UAUAUUUAUUUAUAGAUAUGAUACUAUGAAAUAGCUUUAUUAUCCCUUGCUAAAAAUGCUUCCUUUUUUGCUUUCUUAGCAGUCAGUGCAAAAAUUCAAGUUAAUAUCAUAAUAUCAUGGUAAAAGCUGCAAGCUCUGAAGUGGUACAGGCUGGCAGGAAGCUCCCAGUGUAUGGUUUGGUGUGAGCAGCACCGAUGUAUUAGGUUUGGCAUAGUAGUACAUGGGUUUUUUUUCUUGUUUUUAGUGGCCAUCUAUGCCAUCUAUGCAUCUAUGCUUAACUUGUUAACAAUUUAUGUUCAUAUGUACGAGGAGGAGGAACAUAAAGAUGAUGUAAGGAUAGACAGGUUUGUAAAACCAGCCAUUUCUUCAAGGGACGGCUGCUGCAGCAAUACCCUGCUUGCACGAUGCCCUAUAUGAGUGUCUGUUUUGAGCGAGUUUUACACGUGACCUGCACCCUGAUCAUGCGUUCUUUUUAGGCUGCACACCCGCCUAUCAGCCUCAUCAGCGUUGAUGCUGUGGACCCACAUCAGUGGUUUCUUGAGCUUUGAGAAAAACCCAGUUCUUGUUCUUAGAUAAAUACAAGAACCCUCUGUUUCAGAGCAGCGUGCAGCCAUGUGCACACUGUGUGUGCCAGAACAGACCCUUUCAAGAGCUCCAGAAGACUUUUUUAGCCUCUUUCUUUCAUCUGCAAGACCAAAAAGGAAAGAGAGGUUUCUGCAACUGGGAAGCAGGAGAAGAGAGUGGAGUGACAAGACUUCACCUGUACCGUAGCUGAUGGUGGGCUCACAGACCAGAACACACACAGCCUAUUGCACAGAUCGGCUUUCCUGGCAGCCCCGGGCAGCACUUGCAGGGACAGAGGUAUGGGACGCCUAAAAAUAGUUACUGAAAGAGACUAAAAGACAAGGACAGCUGGAAAAAACAU